UUCAGAAUAAUAGCAGAUCAGGGCAGCUGAACUGAUAUCAGAUUUUGCCCUUUGGAUUUUCAGAUUUCUAAGCAUCUGGCUGUGGGAGGAGUUAUGACAUCUGUACACCUGCCAGACAGGGAUUAAAAUUUUUGCCAAAUUUGGGACCAGGAAGAAAUUUCCACCGCAUUCCCAUGACUUGGAUUGUGGUGGAUCCUUUCACUUCCUCUGAAUCAACAAAGACGGGAUCAUCAGCUUUCCGGAAUCUUGGGUUGUUUUUCUCACUCAGAUAUUAAGUUUGCCUUGCUCUUCCUAAUACUCAGAUUCUGUCUUCCUGUGGUAAUUUUGCCACUGUUUCCUGAUGCUAUUUCAGCCUAACAGCACAUACCUAGUCAGACAGACAUUCUUCUUGCAUCCCAUUCAGUUUCUAUCUGCCUCCUGUUUGUCUGUUCUAGCAUUCUGAUGUCAUAAUAUCCUAGAACAAACAGUCAGAGACUGAAAGAGCAGAGCAGGACAAAAAUAAACGCAAUAGAAAGUGAAUUGUAUAGAAACA
rnacentral:lncRNA from 1 species